GACGAACGCUGGCGGCGUGCUUAACACAUGCAAGUCGAACGGAAAGGCCCCUUUGGGGGUACUCGAGUGGCGAACGGGGGAGUAACACGUGAGUAACCUUCCCUUGACUUCGGGAUAACUUCAGGAAACUGGGGCUAAUACCGGAUAGGAAUCCUUUCUGCAUGGUGGGGGUUGGAAAGCGUCGGCGGUUUUGGGUGGACUCGCGGCGUAUCAGCUUGUUGGUGUGGCAGUGGCUUACCAAGGCGUUGGCGGGUAGCCGGACUGAGGGGGCGACCGGCCACAUUGGGACUGAGAUACGGCCCAGACUCCUACGGGAGGCAGCAGUGGGGAAUAUUGCACGAUGGGCGGCAGCCUGAUGCAGCAACGCCGCGUGCGGGAUGACGGCCUUCGGGUUGUAAAACGCUUUCAGCAGGGGCGAAGCUUGUGGUGACGGUACCUGCAGAAGAAGCACCGGCUAACUACGUG
rnacentral:rRNA from 1 species